UACGUAGGGGGCAGGCGUUGUCCGGAAUCAUUGGGCGUAAAGCGCGUGUAGGCGGUCCGGUAAGUCCGCUGUGAAAGUCGGGGGCUCAACCCUCGGAUGCCGGUGGAUACUGUCGGGCUUGAGUACGGAAGAGGCGAGUGGAAUUCCUGGUGUAGCGGUGAAAUGCGCAGAUAUCAGGAGGAACACCAAUUGCGAAGGCAGCUCGCUGGGACGUUACUGACGCUGAGACGCGAAAGCGUGGGGAGCAAACAGG
rnacentral:rRNA from 1 species